rnacentral:sRNA from 1 species
UCGAUUUGAGGCAUUGGCGCCGUUCUCC